rnacentral:lncRNA from 1 species
ACCACCACCCCUCCCUCCACCUCCACCACCCUCCUGGGUGCACUCCCUAGCCAUAUGACCGGACUCACCACAUUUGUAGCAUGUCCCGCCACCGCCCCUCCCUCCACCACCACCCUCUUGGGUGCAUUCCCUAGCCAUGUGACCAGACUCACCACAUUUGUAGCAAGAUCCACCACCUCCCCUUCCUCCACCUCCACCGCCCUCUUGGGUGCAGUCCCUAGCCAUGUGACCCGACUCACCACAUUUGUAGCAUGUGCCACCACCGCCACCGCCCCUCCCUCCCCCACCACCCUCUUGGGUGCAUUCCCUAGCCAUGUGACCAGACUCACCACAUUUGUAGCAAGAUCCACCACCACCCCUUCCUCCACCUCCACCGCCCUCUUGGGUGCACUCCCUAGCCAUGUGACCCGACUCACCACAUUUGUAGCAUGAUCCGCCACCACCCCUGCCUCCACCUCCACCACCCUCUUGGGUGCACUCCCUAGCCAUGUGACCCGACUCACCACAUUUGUGGCACGCCCCACCACCACGACCACGACCGCGGCCGCGACCACCUCCACUGU